rnacentral:lncRNA from 1 species
CUCUAAUUCAUUUUAUACCAUCCUAGGUGAUUUUUCAAAUUCACGUCACUGUUGCUGCCUGAAUUCUGUUUCUUUGCAAAAUUUUACCCUUUCAUGACUUCCAUACAUAAUUUAUCACCUAGACCUUUAUAACAACAAACAUCUUCAUCCUUGGCCAUUUAAACAACCAUUCAUCAUCAAAUACUUACGCAUCAUUCUAUAGCAAAAUCAUAAUUACAAACAUACAAAAUAACUAAAUCCCUAUACAUGCCAUAACUCAAACGUGUUUCAUCAUAAAAUACCGAGCAGUUGUGGUUGAUAGUGUGGACGAUCUCCGACUUCUUUAGGAUCCUUGAAGUAGCUUGGCAAUACUAAAAGAGAAAGAGAAAUAAAAGAAGUAAGCAAAAAGCUUAGUAAGUUUACUAGCAAAUAAAUAACAACAUUUAACACAAAUGAUUAUACUCAAAUGUCAAGGUCUCUAGUUUACUCUUUAAUUAAUCUCAUUCUCAUUCUCUUGCUUGUUUACUUAGUUAACUCGUGAUCAUAUCUUACUCUUCCAUUGCUGAAACGUUGAGUAUCAUUUGAUAAUAUAAUAAGUUCUUAACUCUUAUAACUUACCUGAGCUUGCCAUUUAUGCUUUUAACUGAACUUUCAUGUACCUGAUUCGUUUACUAGCUCGUUGAACCACGUUGGAAUAAUAAGGAUACUCGGGUAUCUUUUGAUCAUAACAUGCCAAAGCCAUGUCCCAGACAUGGUCUUACAUGGGAUGUUCUCAUAUCGGUGCCCAUGCCAUGUCCCAGACAUGGUCUUACGGGGGGCCUCUCAUCUCGAUGCCAACGCCAUGUCCCAGACAUGGUCUUACAUGGGACCUCUUAUCUCGGUGCCAACACCAUGUCCCAGACAUGGUCUUACAUGGGACCUCUCAUCUUGGUGCCAAUGCCAUGUCCCAGACAUGGUCUUACAUGGGGCCUCUUUACCCAAAUGUCAUGACAUUCGUAUCCAGUAUCAUCCUUAUGUAUCAACGGGACUAUUUAAUUUUAAUUUUCUAUCAUUUCAUGCUUGGAUAAUCAUCAAAAAAAAUUCAUGAAAUAAAUUCAUAGUUGCUGGAAAAUAGCAGCAUUAAUAAUAAUUAUUGAAAUAUUGCAUUUAUUUACUGUAAACUUACCUCGGUACCAAUAUAGCCCAAUUCACCAACUUAGUCUUCAACUUUAUUCUUUCCUUUGUCUAACCUCGAGUUUCGUUCUUCUUGAUCUAAAAUACCAAAUUUAACUCAUUUAAUACUCACAUUUAUCAAAACAGCCCUCGACUCUAACUUUUUAAAAAUUACAAUUUUGCCCCUAAACUUUUGCAUAAUUACAUUUUUCCCCAAAGCUCGGAAAUUAAACUUCAUCCCUUAUUCUUAUGUUUUAUGACAUGCUGAACAUUUUUCCCUUCUAUGGAAACAUCAAAUUCCCACUCUAACAUGUACUUAAGAACAUUAGGUAUUUUUACCGAUUAUGUCGUUUUACUCGUUUUCACUUAAAAUCGCUUAGCAAAAGUUGUUUAACAUAAUUUCUAGCUUCAUAUUCUAUCAUAAAACAUCAAAAUAAACACUUUUCACCUAUGGGUAUUUUUCCAAAUAUAAACCCUAGGUUAAAUUAUUUCUAGAAUAAGCUAAAUUAAGCUAUCGGGAUCUCAAAAACGUAAAGAACAUUAAAAACGGGGCUUGGGAUCACUUACUAUGGAGCUUGGAAGCUUGAAAACCCUAACUAUAGCUUCCCCCAUUGCUGAUUUCGUCCUAAUGAAGAAGAUGAUGAUUUUUUCCAUCUUUUUCCCUUUUAAUUCUUUUUAUUACUAGAUUACCAAAUUGCCCCUAACUUAAAAAUUUUCUAUUUCACUUAUCUCAUGUCCAUUUUUGUCUACCAAGUUACCAAUGGUCUAAUUACCAUAUAA